rnacentral:tRNA from 1 species
GGGGAUAUAGCUCAGAUGGUAGAGUGAUUGCUUCACACGCUCAAGGCCUUGGGUUCAAUCCCCAGCACCCCCA